UGGGGAAUUUUGGACAAUGGGCGAAAGCCUGAUCCAGCAAUGCCGCGUGUGUGAAGAAGGCCUUCGGGUUGUAAAGCACUUUUGUCCGGAAAGAAAUCCUUGGCUCUAAUACAGUCGGGGGAUGACGGUACCGGAAGAAUAAGCACCGGCUAACUACGUGCCAGCAGCCGCGGUAAUACGUAGGGUGCAAGCGUUAAUCGGAAUUACUGGGCGUAAAGCGUGCGCAGGCGGUUUGCUAAGACCGAUGUGAAAUCCCCGGGCUCAACCUGGGAACUGCAUUGGUGACUGGCAGGCUAGAGUAUGGCAGAGGGGGGUAGAAUUCCACGUGUAGCAGUGAAAUGCGUAGAGAUGUGGAGGAAUACCGAUGGCGAAGGCAGCCCCCUGGGCCAAUACUGACGCUCAGUGCACGAAAGCGUGGGGAGCAAACAGGAUUAGAUACCCUGGUAGUCCACGCCCUAAACGAUGUCAACUAGUUGUUGGGGAUUCAUUUCCUUAGUAACGUAGCUAACGCGUGAAGUUGACCGCCUGGGGAGU
rnacentral:rRNA from 1 species